GCGAUCAUACCAGCACUAAUGCACCGGAUCCCAUCAGAACUCUGAAGUUAAGCAUGCUUGGGCGAGAGUAGUACUAGGAUGGGUGACCCCCUAGGAAGCCCUCGUGUUGCACCCC
rnacentral:rRNA from 1 species